UUACAUUUAGUUAAGGAAGUUGAACCUCGAAAAUGCAGUGAAUUGCACGUUCAUUAUUUUAUCAAAAAUUACUUAAAUGCUACGAAAACAUAAAUAAUCAACCUUAUGGCUGAAUAACCGUUAAAAAUGCUCAUCAAAUAAUAUAAAAAAUGGAGUCAAUAGUAAAUGUAAAUUUUAUAAUAUAAGGACUAUGCUGCUACCAAUAUACCACUAUGCCAACGUACAGUUACUAUGCCGAUUAUAUAUUGGCGCUUACUUACAAUGUCCAUAAACGCAACAAAAGUUCUAGUGAUGGAAACGAAACUUCGACAAAUGCUAUGUGCGACACCAAAAAAAUAGUCGUCACCAAACCUACUGCCAAAGCCAGUGAUGAUCGUAGGUUCAACCACCGGCACCUAAAUCCGACAAAGGCAUGGCUGAAGGUAUCAUAACCUUUGCGCUAUGGUACAUUGUUAUCGCUUACAAUUAUUGGAGGGGUUACAUGCCGCCGCCAAGUGAAGGCGCGCCGACGAAUCCGCCGCCUGGGGAGACCCAGCCACCGCCGCCGCCGCCAACAAACCCAGCGUAGCUAAUAAAUUAUAAGAAACACGGAACUCUUGAACACGAGUGACUUUGGAAAGCCGCUUGAAGAAACGCGAUUGUUCUGUAUCGCCACCACGUUGCAGAUUGAGAUCAAAACGUCUCUACGAUUACAAGUACACAUGUGCGAAUGCACGAUUUUUUACUCUGCAGUGUGUUACUGUAAUACAUAACGGAGUAGUCUGCUUUAUAGUAAAAAUUAAUAAGUAAUAAAUAUCUUUAUAAACGUGUCGCUAAACAAGAAGUUACCACAAUUAUUAUCGAAUUGGACAGAAAAAGUUUUAAGUAAUACCAUGAUAGCGAAAAACACGUUGAGCGUUUCUUUUACGCAAAACCCGCCAGCGCGAAACGCACACCGGCUUAAUACGAUUCCGUAUCGAUAAGUAUGGUGUGUCCCUGUGUGGUGUAUCCCUUAGAUAAAAUACACACAAGCUACCCUACUCAGCAAUAUCAAGAAGAACUUGACAAAAUGUUCAUAUUUGACUAGGUUACUUUUGGGUCAUUUUCAAAUUAGUGUCAUCUACCUAAUUUCGGUGGCAAUUUUUAUUAUUUAACCCCCUAAGAUCCCGCGUACAUCAAAACCCAUAAUAUGUGAACUGAUUCUGACCCAGACUAUAUUAUUCCUAUGAUCACGUAAACGCCCAGUAUAUCUUAGCUAUAAUGGAAAAUAUGGCAUUCGGGUUUAGUGCUAUAUAUUCUGUAUUUAGAAAAAAAAAUCGGAAUGUGUUUUUCAUACAAUUCGUACAUAAUUAGUACAUUUGGCGUUUAACGCUUUGCCCAUUGUAGUUUUGUGUGUUAGGAGGUUGGUAUUCCAGAAUAUUAUCAUGAAGUAUUAUUUAAUAUUCGAGUAUAGUAUCUUGAAAUAUUAUUUAAUACUUUACGAUAUUAUACUCGAAUACUUAAAUAAUAAAAAUUUCCACCGAAAGUAGUCUGCCUAUUUUUAGAUUUUUUAUAAAUUAGCACUAACUUGAAAACGACUUUUUUAUAUCUUAAAGUGGUAUUGUAUAAUUGUAGUAUAAUUUUACUUUGCAGGCGACGAAUAAUAAACCUAUAAACACCAUGUCAACAACAUUUAUAAGUAUAAAAACCUCAAACUUCAUAAAAUCAGGAU